rfam:Rhynchosporium commune strain TK7 genome assembly, contig: RCO7_scaffold037
ACAUACGACCACAGACUGAAGAGAAAAGGGCAUCCCGUCCGCUCUGCCAAACUCAAGCUUCAGAUCGGUGGAUUAGUAGUUGGGUGGGUGACCACCAGCGAAUACCCACUGUCGUAUGUA